UUGUCGCAGGUUGGUCAAAUAACUUCUGAUUUUUAAUUUAUUUAUUUUUUAUGGCUAACUGUGUUUGUUGAAACAGCUAGUUUUUAGUAUUACUUUGUUGUAUAACAAAUUAGCUUUAGCUAACUUCAUAUGAAGGCAUCAAAAUUUCCAGGAAAAUGUUUUCAAAACAAACUUAAAUGUUUUCAAAACAAACUUAACAUGAAAUUAAAAAUGAAAAUGAGGAACGCUUCACGAAUUUGCGUGUCAUCCUUGCGCAGGGGCCAUGCUAAUCUUCUCUGUAUCGUUCCAAUUUUAGUAUAUGUGAUGCCGAAGCAACACGAUAGAGCAGAGGCAUCCAGCGCUAUUUAUAGGACCUCCGUCCUCAGUUUGACUGCCGCAUGGUUCAGCCUCAUGAGCAGAAAAAGUAGAUUAUUUACAGUGUUUAACAAGAAAACAGCAUCAGAAUCAUCUCUCCUUGCUGCUGGUUCACUUAAAGGAUUAUUGGAAGUGAUCCAGCUCCAUUGUGACCCGGUUCGGUUCUUAUCCUUGUUUUUCAGUUUCAUUCUGUCCUGAGUGAAACACAGAUGCAUGAUGGAACAUUUGUGCAGGCAGGGUUGCGUCAGCCACUCAGGAAUGGCUGGCUGAAGACACAAGAACAAAAGGCUGACUCAACACCCCUCCCCCAACCGUCCUGCCGGAGGGACUCCAACCCCCACCAGGUCUCCACGAGGGCAGAGUGCUGAUAGAGAGACAUCCUGCCUGGAGAGAGAGAGAACCCGUCUGACUGACGUCACCCUGCUGCUGUGUAACAGGAAGAGACGAACGCUCCAAGCAGAAACCCGCUCCGAGUCUGAAAAGUGCUGAUCUGACCCCCUAACGGGACGUGGACUUUCAUCUGACGCCUCAACAGGACCUGGACUCAUCCUGCUAUGUGGGCAAAAACCUGCCCCGGAUCUGGUCUGAAUUUUAAAAUUUUUUGGUUAGAUUCGAUCUGUUUGGUGUGUGAUGUGCAUGUGGAGGUUGGUAGUUUAAAUCCUGCGUUCACUGCCAGGAUUUUCACUCUUAAACUGAAGGAUAAAGACCCUUUGGUUUAAAAUAAGAACCGCGGUUGAAAUAAAACAAAGCACUGUGGUUCCACCAACCCGCCACAUGACAGCGCUGCUUCAAAAACUACAGUUAGCCCUGAGGAAAGAAAAAAAUCUGAUGUUGCUGCACCACCCGGCUGGCCGCCUCAACAAUGGAAACAUGGGACACAGCCCACUCGGACUCGAUGUCCCCGCCUCACCCGGUACAUGGUUGAAGCUCUGCCAGAGAUGGGAGUAGAAACUCUUUUUGAUGGGACGUUCCCAGCAGACCCUCACAACACAUCUGGGUCUGCCAGGCCUGACCGGCAUCCUCCCCCAUCAUCCGAGGAUGAGCGGUUUGGUGAUCCGGGAUCGGCUCAGAGUCGCUGCUCCUCCACACCAAGAGGAGCCGGAUGAGGUGGCUCGAGCAUCUGGUCAAGAUGUCUCCUGGACGCCUCCCUGGUGAGGUGUUCUGGGCACCCCGGGGAAGACCCAGGACAUGCUGGAGGGACUAAAUUAGUCGGCUGGCCUGUGAACGUCUCGGGAUCCCCCCGGAUGAGCUGGUGAAUGUGUCCGGGGAGGGAGGUCUGGGUUUCCCUGCCCCCGCGACCUGACCCGGGAUAAUCAGUAGAAAAUAGAUGGAAAUAAAAAUUAAAAUGAGGAAUGCUUCAUCCUUGCACCACCUCAAACUCAUUCAUUUAUUAUACGUCCCGCCCUCUCCAUUCAGCAAACUUGGGUCUUACUUCGGAGAGCAGACAGCCAAUCAGAAAGCUGGAUUUGUUCCUAUUUCUCUUGGAGACCCAACCACCCUGCUAGCGGCUCUUUACUCAGUGCUGCAUCUGGACGGUGUUUUUCAGCUCCACCACCUUCUGAUCUGGCUGCUUCUUCCACCGACUCCUUUCUCUGUUCAGACGGAGCAUCCAACGUUUAAAAGGGUCCCUAACACCGGAGGAGGUGGAGGCAGAGGCCUGAGCCCACGCUGCCAGAGAGGGUGGUGAUGUCACCAACGCCACCCUUGUCCUGAGCCGGAGGAGGGUCCAGCUUAGCCGGUACCAGGGCCAGACCUUCGGCUGGCUUCUGGAAAACGAGGUGUGAUGCUUUAGCUGUAGCGGCAGCAGAACCAUCGGCUCAGCCGCCUAUUGACACAGCAUCUGUCUCCGUCUCCAGCCAGGCUCGCAGGGCCUCUCAAUUUGCAGCUUUGGUCUCUGGGCGGCGUUCUCGCUCUGUGGUGAAAAUACAGGCUAAAGUCUGGCAUCUGGCAUUUCCAGGUGAGGUGGAACUCAUGAUAAACGAAGAGUGCAUCAUUAUCCUUGAUGAUCAGCAACAGUGUGAAUGGGCUGUACAACACCCUGCAGGAGCAGCACUCAGACUCCUGGAGUCAGAGUCGGCGUCUACGAGCAGUUCCUUGACCUUUCACCAUCUCCUCAGAUGCCCCCCGAGCCGUCCCCCAUCUGGCUGCUGGCCGUCUACAGCUACGACGUCCUGAUGCGGCUGGACGAGAACCAGGAUCAUGUCCACUUUUUAUCUUAAAGAUGGACUCCACCAAGAAGGUGACGUAGAAGCUCGCAGGCGCCACCUCUGAUACGGCCGCCUGGAUUACCAACGUUGGAAACGAGUGCGGGCAGGUCCUCACCAGCAUCCUCCUUGUCAGGGCUUUGGGGGUCUGUCCGGGAUGGUGGUUGGACUGAUGAGGCAUAUUAGAAAUUUUCUUCUCAUUUCUUCUCAUGAGAAGGUCCAGGGUCCCAACAGCCAGCCAGGAUACCGGCACAUCCUGACGCUGGCCAAGGCCCUGGUGGAAGUCUGGAGCCUUCAGGGUCUACCUGACAGCAGGGUAGACAAGCUUAUCACGCUCUGGCUACGCCUGCCAGAGGGCGAUAAACAGCGAGUCGUCUACCCUGCCAGACACCAGGAGAGGCAGACCAAGGGGCGGUCCAAGGCAGACAAGAGGAAGAACACCUCCUGGGAAGGAGAGUCUCCAAUGCAGGUUCACAGGGCGACAGAGGAGGUGGGGAGGGCCGUUCUGGAGCAUCGUCCCUGCUCCAGCCAUCGCCAGCGAGCCCAUACCUGCUGCAACAGGGCUGUCCUCGGUUCAGGUGGGACAAGGACAAGGGACAGCCCCUCAUAACAUCCCUGAAGAGGGGCCAGGUCCUUCCUCCCUCCCUCCUCUCCUGGCUCAACCCUAUCAGGCUGUGCCGCCUCCUCCUCCCAUACCGAGGACCACAGCCUACAGGAAGAGGAAGGUGGCUGCAGGAGAGGAGCCUGCACCCGGGGCCAGACCCCAGCGGUAGACCUGCAAAAAGGCUAGCCAGCUGAGGAUGCUCGACUCCGGCCCGCAGUACGACACACUCGCACCAAAGGUGUUGUUCGCACGGCGGUCGGCAGAAGGACUGGACGAGUGGAGGGAAGACAUGGAAAAAAGACUUAGUGUUUAAUUAUAUACAUAUUUACAUAUUUUAAAUAUAUUGUUUUAUAUAUUUUCUGUGUUUGUUUAUAUAAAUAAUGUAAACACUUGUUUUUGUUUUAUUUCAUUAAUGUUCACAUUAAUAAAUAAAUCUUGUCAAGUUCUUCGUCAGAUGUUUAUGAUGUAGUUUUAGAAUAAAGACUCAUCAUGAGUCAUAAAUGCAGCGUUUCCAUCACACAUCCAGAUAAGAUCUGCAGCCGUAAAUUAUUUGUAAAUGAUUUCAGAACUAAUAAAUAAUUUCAGCAUGGACGUUUUCCUGCUACAAUACUGGACACAGAAAGGUCUCCUGAGGUCAAAACCAAGAUAAAAAAAGAAAUUUAGCAAACAGCUUUUAUUUAAUCGAAGAUGUAAAAAUAAAAA